UACGUAGGGGGCAAGCGUUGUCCGGAUUUAUUGGGCGUAAAGAGCGUGUAGGCGGCUAUACAGGUCCGCUGUGAAAACUCGAGGCUCAACCUCGAGACGUCGGUGGAAACCAUCAGACUAGAGUCCGGAAGAGGAGAGUGGAAUUCCUGGUGUAGCGGUGAAAUGCGCAGAUAUCAGGAAGAACACCCGUGGCUAAGGCGGCUCUCUAGUACGGUACUGACGCUGAGACGCGAAAGCGUGGGGAGCGAACAGG
rnacentral:rRNA from 1 species